UUUCCUACGGGGGGCAGCAGUAGGGAAUGUUGCUCAAUGGGGGAAACCCUGAAGCAGCAACGCCGCGUGGAGGAUGAAGGUUUUCGGAUUGUAAACUCCUUUUGUUAGAGAAGAUAAUGACGGUAUCUAACGAAUAAGCACCGGCUAACUCCGUGCCAGCAGCCGCGGUAAUACGGAGGGUGCAAGCGUUACUCGGAAUCACUGGGCGUAAAGAGCGCGUAGGCGGGAUAGCAAGUCAGAAGUGAAAGCCCAAGGCUCAACCAUGGGACUGCUUUUGAAACUGUCAAACUAGAGUACGGGAGAGG
rnacentral:rRNA from 1 species